rnacentral:rRNA from 1 species
UUGUACCCGUUUGAUUUAAGCAUAUCAAUAAGCGKAAUCGGAAAAGUAGACYAACAGGGAUUCGCCUUAGUAACUGGCGAGUGAAGCGGCAACAGCUCAAAUGUUGAAAUGCUGGCCCUUUCAGGGUCCGMAUUGUAAUUUGUAGAGGAUGAUUCSGCGAGGGCUCCUGCCUAAGUCCCCUGGAACGGGGCGUCAUAGAGGGUGAGAAUCCCGUAUGCGGUAGGUUGCCUUARCCAUGUGAAUCUCCUUCGACGAGUCGAGUUGUUUGGGAAUGCAGCUCUAAAUGGGAGGUAAAUUUCUUCUAAAGCUAAAUACCGGCCAGAGACCGAUAGCGCACAAGUAGAGUGAUMGAAAGAUGAAAAGCACUUWGGAAAGAGAGUUAAAAAGUACGUGAAAUUGUUGAAAGGGAAGCGSUUGCAACCAGACUUGYCSGCRGUUGCUCASCCGGUCUCCKGWCCGGCKUACUSUUYUGYGGCCAGGCCACCWUCAAUUMGGGCGGUCGGAUAAAGGCCUMGGGAAUGUGKMUCCUCUCGGGGAGUGUUAUAGCCCGGGGUGCAAUGCGGCCAGCCUGGACUGAGGAWCUCGCUUCGGCRAGGAUGCUGUGCGUAAUGGUUGUAAGCGGCCCGUCUUGAAACACGGACCAAGGASUCUAAYRUCUAUGCGAGUGUUCSGGUGUCAAACCCGUACGCGUAAUGAAAGUGAACGGAGGKGGGAACCCGCMAGGGUGCACCAUCGGCCGAUCCUGAUGUCUUCGGAUGGAUUUGAGCAAGAGCAUAGCUGUUGGGACCCGAAAGAUGGUGAACUAUGCCUGAAUAGGGUGAAGCCAGAGGAAACUCUGGUGGAGGCUCGCAGCGGUUCUGACGUGCAAAUCGAUCGUCAAAUUUGGGUAUAGGRGCGAAAGACUAAUCKAACCAUCUAGURCCUCGGUUCCUGCCGAAGUACCACUCAGGAU